GACCAUUUAGGUGGCCUUAGUGGUUAGAGCAUCUGUCUCAGAUGCAGGAUGUCGUGGGCUCAAACCCCAGCGAAGUCU